rnacentral:rRNA from 1 species
AGACCUUACGGGGGCGCCAGCAGGGCGCGAAACUUACAUGCAGGCACUGCGAUAGGGACAUCGAGUGAUACUCAUUUUGGUGUCUGUCUCCGUCUAAAAAACGGGAGUUAGCAAGGGCCGGGCAGACCGGUGCAGCCGCCGCGGUAAUACCGGCGGCUCGAGUGGUGGCCCGAUAUAUUGAGUCUAAAGGGUCCGUAGCCGGCUUUGCAAGUCUUUUGGGAAAUCCAGCGGCUUAACCGUUGGUCGUCCCGGGAGAUACUACAUUGCUUGGGACUGGGAGAGGUAGGAGGUACUCAGGGGGUAGGAGUGAAAUCCUGUAAUCCUUUGGGGACCACCGGUGGCGAAGGCGUCCUACCAGAACAGGUCCGACGGUGAGGGACGAAAGCUAGGGGCACGAACCGGAUUAGAUACCCGGGUAGUCCUAGCCGUAAACGAUGCUCGCUAGGUGUCACAACAAUCGUGAAUUGUUGUGGUGCCGUAGGGAAGCCGUGAAGCGAGCCACUUGGGAAGUACGACCGCAAGGUUGAAACUUAAAGGAAUUGGCGGGGGAGCACCACAACGGGUGGAGCCUGCGGUUUAAUUGGACUCAACGCCGGACAGCUUACCGGGAUCGACAGUUGUAUGAAGGCCAGGCUGAAGACCUUGCCGGACUAGCUGAGAGGAGGUGCAUGGCCGCCGUCAGUUCGUACCGUGAGGCGUCCUGUUAAGUCAGGCAACGAGCGAGACCCAUAUCCACUGUUGCUAACAUGUCCCGCGAGGGAUGGUGAGUACACGGUGGAGACCGCUGGCGCUAAGUCAGAGGAAGGGGUGGUCGACGGUAGGUCAGUAUGCCCCGAAUAUCCCGGGCUACACGCGGGCUACAAUGGACUGGACAAUGGGUAACGACACCGAAAGGUGAGGUCAAUCUCUUAAACCAGUUCUUAGUCCGGAUUGAGGGCUGUAACUCGCCCUCAUGAAGAUGGAAUCCGUAGUAAUCGCAUUUCAAAACAGUGCGGUGAAUACGUCCCUGCUCCUUGCACACACCG